rnacentral:rRNA from 1 species
GACAGAGGGUGCAAACGUUGUUCGGAAUUACUGGGCGUAAAGCGUGCGUAGGUGGUUUGUUAAGUCUGAUGUGAAAGCCCUGGGCUCAACCUGGGAAUUGCAUUGGAUACUGGCAGGCUAGAGUGCGGUAGAGGAUGGCGGAAUUCCCGGUGUAGCAGUGAAAUGCGUAGAGAUCGGGAGGAACAUCUGUGGCGAAGGCGGCCAUCUGGACCAGCACUGACACUGAGGCACGAAAGCGUGGGGAGCAAACAGG